CGCGUGCUGUUGUGGUCGUAUUUUUAUUUCAGUUUUUUUUAUUCUGAAAAAUAAUUUUGUAUUCUCUUGUAUAUGUUUUAAUGAAAUUAUAUGUAUACAUAUAUAUUCAUGUAUAUAUGUAGUUUUAUUAUUGUAAAUUUACAUACAUACAAAUUUGUAAUUAGAAAGUACAUGUUUUUAUAAAUUCGUUAUUGGAAUUGUGCUUCUUUCCUCUAUAUGCUACGAAAUUAUUAAUUUUGUGAAAUAAUCGAAAAAAUAUAACUUUGUGUUUUUAUUUUGUUUUUUUUUUUCAAUUUAUUUAUAUAUUUUGUGGCAAUUAUUACAUAUAAAAAAUUGUUAUACUACUUUAUUAUUAUAUUGAUUUGAGUGAAAAGUACGGCGACAAAAAAAAUAAAAGUGUCAAAAUCGAAAAACACAAAAAAACAAAAUAAGAAUUUUUCUAAUCUUUAAAAUCCUGAAAACAACUUCAAAUCAAAAAAAUUAUUUUUUUUUUCCUGGAUCCGGAAUUUAAUUUAACAAUUUUUGUUGCUGUUGCUGAUGCCGCUGCUGCUGCUACUACUACUACCAUUGACAAGAAAACUACAUAAGAAACAGGAAAAAUAAAAAAAAGUCAAAAAAUAAAACGAAAAAUUUGACAUUCAAAAAUCUUAUUACAAGGUGUUCUAUCUAAAACGAAACAAAAGCAAAACAACAAAAAGUGAAAAAUAAAAGCAUAACAACAAAAUCACUUAAUAACAUUGAAUAAAAAAUAUAUAUUAUACACAAAUUCAUACACAUAUAGUUGUAUUAUUAAAUACAUACUAAAUUAAACACAAAACAAAAAAAAAAAACAAAAACAGAAAAAAUAUGAAAAUCCAAUAAUUCGAAGGAUAACAGCAGAAAAGAAAAAAUAAAAAGAACACAGAAAAAAAAAUUCGAACUUGUAUUCAAAUACAAACCAUCAUCAUAAUCAUCAAUAUCAAUAUAAACAUCAUCAUCAUCAUCACCAUCAUCAGGGAAUAAAGCAACAACCAUUAAAAUCUACUUUUAUACAAUAAGGAUUUUUAUUUAAAACGAGCGGAUAUAUACAUCCAUACACACAUUUGUAUAUAUACAUAAAAGUAUUAUAUUCUAUUUUUAAGCUCUUAUACAACAAAAUAUAAAAGCAAAACAAAGCAAAAAGCCAUAAGAAGACAAAACAAACAGCAAAAAAAAAAAUAAACAACAAAUUUAUAAUAAUUAUUAUAAUAAAAAAAAAUUUCAUAAUUCAACGUUGAAGAGCUACAGAACAAUAAGAAAAAUAUUUUUAAAUGAAAAGCUAAAUUAAAAGCAAAAGAAAAAAAAUAUUAUCAUUAAAACAUAAAAAAAAAUUUAAAAUAAUUGAAAUAAAAAUAAUUUAUUUUCCCUUCUAAAACAAAAAAAAAGAAAAAAAUCAAUUAUCACCACCUUGACCUAAACCAAUCCUUGAAAUUCAAAAAGGAAGCAACAAAAAAUACAACAAAACCAAAAAUAUAGAAAUAAACGAAACAAAAGAAACAUUCAAACCUUGAAUUUUCAUGUAAAACAGAAAAAAACAGAAUUGUAAUUGAAAACUUAAUUUCUUUCAUUCAUAAUUUGCCCAAUUUUUGGGAAACAAUACCUGUGUAUGCAUAUAGGUAUAUAAAAAACAAUAAGGACAUCAUUACAAUUAAAAAAUAAUAACAAAAAAGAAAAAAAAAAAAACAGAAAUAAUAGAAUCAAAUCACAACGAUUACGUCACAUAAGAGCAAACCUUGAAGAUUACAAUUUGCAUAUUUUUAUAUUUUCUUUUUGUUACAUAAGAAAAUUAUGUGAAUUUAUUUUAAUUUUCAAUUCAAUUUUAAAAUAUUUUUAAAAAACAAGUAAAUAAUAAUUUCUCUCAGUGUAAUUCACUCAAUUAUCACCAUUUAAAUUAUUAAUAAAAGAUUUUAAUGAAAUCGCAAUCUUAAUGUUUUAAAAUUUACAUGUUUGCAAAUCAUUUGUACAUACAUAUAAUCAAGGUAGAUUAUUAUUACUAUAACAGUAAUUAAAUAGUAAACAUUUAAAGGAUUAUUAUAUUUAAAAAUUAACAAUCGAAUCUAUGCUUACAUAAAAUAGUUUUAAAAAUUGCAAAAUAUUUUUAAAAUAACUUAUAAUUUUUUCUCAGUGUAUAUGAGCUAUUUACUUUGUGUUCAUAAAUACGCCACCAUAAAUUUAUUUUCUUAAACAUAUAUGAAAAUUUAUUCUGAGUGUAUAAAAUAAUUUUUAUAAUUUAACUUUUUUUUAACAUUAAAUUUAAAAAAUUAAAAAUAAUUGAAUUUUUAUUGUUGAUUUGCAAGUUUUUUGUGCUUUGGAUUCUGAUUUUUUUUUACAAAUGACAUCGUCUGUUGUAAGAUUUGUACAAUUUUUAAAAUUUCAAUUGACGAUUCACAUUAAUUAUUCAAAUAAAUUUUUAAUUAAAAUAGAAAAUAAUUCCAAUUUAAGUACAAAACAAAAAAUAUUGGUUUAGAAAAAAAAAACAAAAAAGAAAUUUUUUUUUUUUUAAAAAAAAAAUAAUUCCUAUAUUUUUAAUUUUUAAGGUAAAAUAUUAAAAUUUAUUAUAAAAAAAUUUCUAAAUUGAAAGCAAAAAAAUUCAAUUUAAAGUACAAAAGAAAUUAAACAAGAAAACAAAAAAUCUUGUUGUAUUUUUGUGAUUUGUUGUGUUAUACGAAAAUAUAUUCAAAGUGGAUACCAUAUCUAUUCCAUUGGGUGGACUAUCACAUGUUAGGAUGGCUCUAGCCAGGUAAGUUUGUAUCUACUUACUUCAGUUUUUUUUCAGUGUAUCUGUAUGUGAUUCUUCUAAUAAGUAGAACUUGAAAAAAGAAUUUGCAUUUUUAAAGUUAAAUGAGAAAAUAUACCAGAAUUAACUUUGGAGAUUUAAAAUUUACCAAAUCAAAUGUUUGGUAAUACUGAAUAUUUUUUUUUAAAAACUUAACCCUAAUUAUGUCUAAGCAUGUAACCUGUCUAUUAUAGUAUUAUGUCACUAUGAAGACAUGCGCGGUAUCCAUUAUAUAACCUCCAUUGUCUAGGUAUAUAAAAUACUAGGGUGCGAUGAAACCCGACAUUAGACUUUUUUUUAAUCUACUUCUUAUUGUGGUAAAAUAUAUUUAACAUUAGACCAUUUUCAAAAAUUUUAAAUACCCUGUCGAAAUGUCUUCGAAUUAGUUUUAUUAAAAAAAUUAUCUGUCCUAUUUAAUUUAGCUAUUUUAUAAAUUUAAUAUAUUUGUUUAGAAUACUAGUGCUGGUAGUCCGUUUCAGGUGUGCGAUUUAUUACCCAAUACAAAUCCUAAUGCAUUUUCUCUCAAACAAUCUAAACUUUCCCAUGAGAUUUGCGCUUACGUUAUACUAAAUCGAUAUAGCAUUUACGGCAUUAUUUUAUGUUGAUUGGAAAUUUAAAAUUUAUUAUAGUUGAAAAUUGCAUAUCUUCAGGAGCAAUUAUAAAUUUUUAAAAAAUUUUUUUUACGAUUAAUUACGCAUUUUUAGUUGAUUGAUUGUGGUAUUUAAGGAGUUGUA